rnacentral:rRNA from 1 species
UACGUAGGGUGCGAGCGUUAAUCGGAAUUACUGGGCGUAAAGUAUGCGCAGGCGGCAGAGCAAGUCGAGUGUGAAAGCCCCGGGCUUAACUUGGGAAUUGCGCUCGAAACUACUUUGCUGGAGUGUGGCAGAGGAAGGUGGAAUUCCACGUGUAGCGGUGAAAUGCGUAGAGAUGUGGAGGAACACCAAUGGCGAAGGCAGCCUUCUGGGCCAACACUGACGCUCAU